GAGACUGAAGCUGGAAAAGGUUAAGAAACUUGUGCAAGAUCACCAGCAAUAAGCAUCUGACCAGGACUCAGACCCAUGUAGCCAGACUCCAGAGUCUUUUACUACUGUACUGUGCAGCCUGGCUUAUAGGAUCUUAGUUCCCCGACUGGGGAUCGAACCCAGGCUCCCAGCAUUGGAAGCGAGAUUCUCAACCACUGGACCACCAGUGAAUCCCCUGUUGAUCUUAAAAAGUAUGGUUCCCAGUCAGGCAGCAUAUGUACAAGCAGAAUGCAAGGCCAUGCUCUAAGUAUUUGAUCAAUGAUCUGCUGUCUCUGAAGAACUCUCUGG